GCCAGCGGCGAUAGCACGGCGAAUGCACCAGUUCCCAACGGAGCACUUAAGCAACGUUGCGCGUGGUUGGUAUUUGGAUGGGUGACCGUCUGGGUAAUGGCGUGAUGAUUUUU
rfam:Asian citrus Psyllid, Diaphorina citri - Florida Strain, whole genome shotgun sequence.